rnacentral:sRNA from 1 species
GUCCUUGUCUUCCUGUCUUUCCUAGAGUACCUUCUCAACUAGUAACUUCAGCAACAUCUCUAGCUUCUUUCCCUCCUUGUUUAACUUUUUAACAAAAGCAUAGCAUACAUGCACCAGAUUACACAUAUUCUGGAUGUGCACCCUGAUGAAUUUCACAAAGCAAUCAUAGCCAGGUAAAUAGCCUGCAGACUCAGAGAGAAAGCAUCACCAGCACCAGAAGUGCAUGCUGCACUCCAGCCACUACCCUGGUAUGGAGAAGAUCAACUUUUCAGGUGGAGAGCCAUUUCUUCCAGACCGGGGAGAAUACCUGGGCAAGUUGGUGAGGUUCUGCAAAGUAGAGUUGCGGCUGCCCAGCGUGAGCAUCGUGAGCAAUGGAAGCCUGAUCCGGGAGAGGUGGUUCCAGAAUUAUGGUGAGUAUUUGGACAUUCUCGCUAUCUCCUGUGACAGCUUUGACGAGGAAGUCAAUGUCCUUAUUGGCCGUGGCCAAGGAAAGAAGAACCAUGUGGAAAACCUUCAAAAGCUGAGGAGGUGGUGUAGGGAUUAUAGAGUCGCUUUCAAGAUAAAUUCUG